CCGCCCCCCUCCCCCUCCACCGCGCGUGUUGUUGACAUUUAGCAGCAGAAUAUCCUUAACCCUUCUCCAAAAUCAUAGCUGAAAUUUUGUUAUUUGUGGAAAGGUCUAAUUUCGUCUGUCAAGUCAUUCCUAACGGAGAGAAGUAUCUUACCGGCUACCCCGCAACGAGUCAGAACAUGGCUGAUUACUUCCAAGAAAUGAAUUGUACCCCACUUGGUGAUGGUGAAACACCAAAUUUUCUCCUUCAAAUGGCAAGGCUGCUGCAAGAUUUUGGUAUGUGGGAGGAACUGGGCACCAAUAAGAAAUUACCUCCACCAGCAUCUAAAAAGGCUGUUGAAGAUCUUAAGGUUUCAACUGUGCAGAGAGAAGGAGAUCAAUGUCCCGUUUGCUUAAAAAAUUUUGAUAAAGGGGAACAAGUAAAAGAAAUGCCAUGCCAGCACAGUUUUCAUUUAGGAUGUAUUUUGCCCUGGCUUCAGAAGACGAACUCUUGUCCUCUUUGCCGACAUGAGCUCCCAACUGAUGAUGAGGAGUACGAAAAUUACAAAAAAGAACAGAAGCGAGCUAAACAGAGAGAGGAAGACAUCAGAAAUCUUCACGAUUCCAUGUUUUCUUAGGCUUAAUGUCAUUAUAGUCAUAGAGAUUUGUUCUUCCUCCCGCAAACGGUAUCCCAUUGUCUGAAGUGUAAAUAACCAAGGAAGAGAGUCCUGCACAAAAUGGGGCACUUCAACCUGUGUUGGAUCAUAUGUAAUUGGAUGCCAGUCAGGAAUAUUUCCCAUUCCUGCCUCCCUAUUUCCGAAAAACUGGCAGAAUGCACCAUACUCCGGAUGUGUGUGAUCACAGCGAUGUGGAUCAUGAAAACCAACGUACAAAAAGAAUGGCCUGAAUAAAUCAAAGAUUUUAGUGUAAAAUUCUUCUCCAUGCAAUGUUAUGGCAACAUUGGACAAAUUUAGGAAAGGAAAGGAUUAAGUAAAGUCCAUGCUUAUUAAAGUUCUUGGGACGUA